CGGGUAGCAAUUUUAACCCAAACACCUUAUAUUGUUGACGCCGCGCAAGCGGCUAUGGCGCUAAACCUGCUGUGGCAUAGGCGUAGCGGACCCGGGGGCAGUACCCGGCGCCUCCACCAUUUUCGGGCACCUGAUGACACAUCAGGUGCUCUUUAUGGGGGCGAAUUAGGCUCGACGUGCGCAGUAAAGACAGUAGCUGUUCCCGGCAUGAUACCACCGUUAUCGGGUCAUAUCUAAAAGUGCCAACGACAACGUUGCACUCGUUGAGGACGUCCGCCUCGCCGCCUAACGGCCGCUAGGUUUAUACGUCCAAAGCGCGGUUCGGGGGGGCACCGGGCAACAGAAGCCCCCCCACU
rnacentral:tmRNA from 1 species